rnacentral:rRNA from 1 species
UGACGUCUGUGGACCAAAAGGGGGCUUUCGGGCUCCCGCUCAAAGAGGAACNUAAGCGAGAUUAGCUAGUUGGUGGGGUAAAGGUCUACCAAGGCGACGAUCUCUAGCUGUUCUGAGAGGAAGAUCAGCCACACUGGGACUGAGACACGGCCCAGACUCCUACGGGAGGCAGCAGUGGGGAAUAUUGCACAAUGGGGGGAACCCUGAUGCAGCCAUGCCGCGUGUGUGAAGAAGGCCUUCGGGUUGUAAAGCACUUUCAGACGUGAGGAAGGGUUGAUGGUUAAUACCCNGUCAACAUUGACGUUAGCGUCAGAAGAAGCACCGGCUAACUCCGUGCCAGCAGCCGCGGUAAUACGGAGGGUGCGAGCGUUAAUCGGAAUUACUGGGCGUAAAGCGCACGCAGGCGGUUUGUUAAGCUAGAAGUGAAAGCCCCGGGCUCAACCUGGGAAGGCCUUUUAGAACUGGCAAGCUAGAGUCUUGGAGAGGGGAGUGGAAUUCCAGGUGUAGCGGUGAAAUGCGUAGAUAUCUGGAGGAACAUCAGUGGCGAAGGCGGCUCCCUGGCCAAAGACUGACGCUCAUGUGCGAAAGUGUGGGUAGCGAACAGGAUUAGAUACCCUGGUAGUCCACACCGUAAACGCUGUCUACUAGCUGUGUGUGAAUUUAAUUUGUGCGUAGCGAAGCAAACGCGCUAAGUAGACCGCCUGGGGAGUACGGCCGCA